CGAGGGGCAGCGGGGGAGUGGCAACACUUCCGCCGGCGACCGGCGCACGGGUGAGUAACACGUAUGAAACCUGCCCGCAGCAGGGGGAUAAGCGGAAGAAAUUCCGUCUAAUACCGCGUAACAACCGACGGGGGCAUCCCUGUUGGUUCAAAGGAGCGAUCCGGCUGCGGAUGGUCAUGCGGCGCAUUAGCUAGUUGGCGGGGCAACGGCCCACCAAGGCGACGAUGCGUAGGGGUUCUGAGAGGAAGGUCCCCCACACUGGUACUGAGACACGGACCAGACUCCUACGGGAGGCAGCAGUGAGGAAUAUUGGUCAAUGGCCGAGAGGCUGAACCAGCCAAGUCGCGUGAGGGAUGACGGCCCUACGGGUUGUAAACCUCUUUUGCCGGGGAGCAAAGAGCGGGACGCGUCCCGCCUCGAGAGUACCCGGAGAAAAAGCAUCGGCUAACUCCGUGCCAGCAGCCGCGGUAAUACGGAGGAUGCGAGCGUUAUCCGGAUUUAUUGGGUUUAAAGGGUGCGCAGGCGGAAGCGCAAGUCAGCGGUAAAAUUGAGAGGCUCAACCUCUUCCCGCCGUUGAAACUGCGUUUCUUGAGUGGGCGAGAAGUACGCGGAAUGCGUGGUGUAGCGGUGAAAUGCAUAGAUAUCACGCAGAACUCCGAUUGCGAAGGCAGCGUACCGGCGCCCAACUGACGCUCAUGCACGAAAGCGUGGGUAUCGAACAGGAUUAGAUACCCUGGUAGUCCACGCAGUAAACGAUGAAUACUCGCUGUCCGGGGAGAUUGGUCUCUGGGCGGCCAAGCGAAAGCGUUAAGUAUUCCACCUGGGGAGUACGCCGGCAACGGUGAAACUCAAAGGAAUUGACGGGGGCCCGCACAAGCGGAGGAACAUGUGGUUUAAUUCGAUGAUACGCGAGGAACCUUACCCGGGCUCAAACGACGGAUGAAUACUUUUGAAAGGAGGUAGUCCUUCGGGACAUCCGUCGAGGUGCUGCAUGGUUGUCG
rnacentral:rRNA from 1 species